rnacentral:rRNA from 1 species
GACGAACGCUGGCGGCGUGCCUAAUACAUGCAAGUCGAGCGAAGUUUUUCUGGUGCUUGCACCGGAAAAACUUAGCGGCGAACGGGUGAGUAACACGUAAAGAACCUGCCUCAUAGACUGGGACAACUAUUGGAAACGAUAGCUAAUACCGGAUAAUAGCAUUAACUGCAUGGUUGAUGUUUAAAAGUUGGUUUUGCUAACACUAUGAGAUGGCUUUGCGGUGCAUUAGCUAGUUGGUGGGGUAAAGGCCUACCAGGUCGACGAUGCAUAGCCGACCUGAGAGGGUGAUCGGCCACACUGGGACUGAGACACGGCCCAGACUCCUACGGGAGGCAGCAGUAGGGAAUCUUCCGCAAUGGGCGAAAGCCUGACGGAGCAACGCCGCGUGAGUGAAGAAGGAUUUCGGUUCGUAAAGCUCUGUUGUUAGGGAAGAAUGAUUGUGUAGUAACUAUACACAGUAGAGACGGUACCUAACCAGAAAGCCACGGCUAACUACGUG